AACUGUAGUUAUGCGUUAAGGUUGACACAGAAAAUGCCAUCUUCACAACUCCAGAGCAUAACAACAGAUUUACAAAUGGCACACUUACUAACAAAUAGGUACAGGCAGACCCACGCUAUGGACACGAUUACAUAAAAGGGGUUCCAUCCUGAACCACCUCAAACUAUCUGCCCACAAGCCCUUCCAAGGUCAGCUUGGAACAGAAAGAUCACAGCUGGGAUAUGUAAACCCCCUGGCAUCAGCCUCUUCUGAGAUGGCAUCCACGCCGACUAGCUCUUGUGGCUUUUCUGUGGUGGAGAAGACCUUCCAGCACACCUGGGCAACAAAGACUGGAUCUCAAAAACAAGUAAGUUGGAGGAGCACCAAGAUGGCCAAGACGAGGCAACACCGGAACGCAGCUACCAGAGAACGAGACACAGAGCACUGAGGACUUCACGAUUCCAAAGGCUUCCACGUGGGCAGAGGACUAAGGCUCCAUGCCCAACAACCCCGCACAAAGGACUAAAUGAACUCCACACAAAGCAGUUCUCUGUAGCAGUAGGAAAGUCACAAAGAAGCUGAAGGAAAUCUGCUCCAGAACCGCUUGAAAGAAAAGACAGACAACCACCUCCUGUCCACAGUGGAAAACAGAUUCUCCACUCACCUU